UACGGAGGAUGCAAGCGUUAUCCGGAAUGAUUGGGCGUAAAGCGUCCGCAGGUGGCUGUGUAAGUCUGCUGUCAAAGAGCGAAGCUCAACUUCGUAAAGGCAGUGGAAACUACACGGCUAGAGUACGUUCGGGGCAGAGGGAAUUCCUGGUGUAGCGGUGAAAUGCGUAGAGAUCAGGAAGAACACCAGUGGCGAAGGCGCUCUGCUAGGCCGUAACUGACACUGAGGGACGAAAGCUAGGGGAGCGAAUGGG
rnacentral:rRNA from 1 species